rnacentral:rRNA from 1 species
CCUACGGGAAGCUGCAGUGAGGAAUAUUGGUCAAUGGACGAGAGUCUGAACCAGCCAAGUAGCGUGAAGGAUGACUGCCCUAUGGGUUGUAAACUUCUUUUAUAAAGGAAUAAAACGAGGCACGUGUGCCUUUUUGCAUGUACUUUAUGAAUAAGGAUCGGCUAACUCCGUGCCAGCAGCCGCGGUAAUACGGAGGAUCCGAGCGUUAUCCGGAUUGAUUGGGUUUAAAGGGAGCGUAGAUGGGUUGUUAAGUCAGUUGUGAAAGUUUGCGGCUCAACCGUAAAAUUGCAAUUGAUACUGGCAGUCUUGAGGACAGUUGAGGUAGGCGGAAUUCGUGGUGUAGCGGUGAAAUGCUUAGAUAUCACGAAGAACCCCGAUUGCGAAGGCAGCUUACUAAACUGUGACUGACAUUGAUGCUCGAAAGUGUGGGUAUCAAACAGGAUUAGAUACCCUAGUAGUC